rnacentral:rRNA from 1 species
ACCGGCGCACGGGUGCGUAACGCGUAUACAUCUACCUUUUACAGGGGCAUAGCCCGGGGAAACCCGGAUUAAUAUCCCAUGGUAUGGCAUCAUUAAAGCUUCGGCGGUAAAAGAUGAGUAUGCGUCCUAUUAGUUAGUUGGUAAGGUAACGGCUUACCAAGGCAGCGAUAGGUAGGGGUCCUGAGAGGGAGAUCCCCCACACUGGUACUGAGACACGGACCAGACUCCUACGGGAGGCAGCAGUGAGGAAUAUUGGACAAUGGGCGAGAGCCUGAUCCAGCCAUGCCGCGUGCAGGAAGACGGCCUAUGGGUUGUAAACUGCUUUUACAGAGGAAGAAACACCCCCUCGUGAGGGGGCUUGACGGUACUCUGCGAAUAAGGAUCGGCUAACUCCGUGCCAGCAGCCGCGGUAAUACGGAGGAUCCAAGCGUUAUCCGGAAUCAUUGGGUUUAAAGGGUCCGUAGGCGGGUUAAUAAGUCAGUGGUGAAAGUCUGCAGCUCAACUGUAGAAUUGCCAUUGAUACUGUUAACCUUGAGUAAUUAUGAAGUGGUUAGAAUAUGUAGUGUAGCGGUGAAAUGCAUAGAUAUUACAUAGAAUACCGAUUGCGAAGGCAGAUCACUAAUAAUUCACUGACGCUGAGGACGAAAGCGUAGUUAGCCGACAGGAUAGAUACCCUGGUAGUCUACGCCGU